rnacentral:rRNA from 1 species
AGAGUUGUAUCCUGGCUCAGGAUGAGCGCUAGCGGCAGGCUUAAUACAUGCAAGUCGAACGGGAUUCGAGGUAGCAAUACUUUGAUGAGAGUGGCGCACGGGUGCGUAACGCGUAUGCAACCUACCUUUAACAGGGGAAUAGCCCCGAGAAAUCGGGAUUAAUACUCCGUAACAUUGCGGGAUGGCAUCAUUCUGCAAUUAAAGAUUUAUCGGUUAAAGAUGGGCAUGCGUGACAUUAGCUAGUUGGUGAGGUAACGGCUCACCAAGGCAACGAUGUCUAGGGGUCCUGAGAGGGUUAUCCCCCACACUGGUACUGAGACACGGACCAGACUCCUACGGGAGGCAGCAGUAAGGAAUAUUGGUCAAUGGGCGCAAGCCUGAACCAGCCAUGCCGCGUGCAGGAAGACGGCCCUAUGGGUUGUAAACUGCUUUUGUCAGGGAAUAAACCUGUCUACGAGUAGGCAGCUGAAGGUACCUGAAGAAUAAGCAUCGGCUAACUCCGUGCC